rnacentral:rRNA from 1 species
GACGUAGGGCGCGGGCGUUGUCCGGAUUUAUUGGGCGUAAAGAGCUCGUAGGCGGCUUGUUGCGUCGACCGUGAAAACCCGGGGCUCAACUUCGGGCUUGCGGUCGAUACGGGCGGGCUAGAGUUCGGUAGGGGAGACUGGAAUUCCUGGUGUAGCGGUGAAAUGCGCAGAUAUCAGGAGGAACACCGGUGGCGAAGGCGGGUCUCUGGGCCGAUACUGACGCUGAGGAGCGAAAGCGUGGGGAGCGAACAGG